rnacentral:lncRNA from 1 species
CCUUCCGUGAUAUUCCCAAGUAGGUCAACUGCCCAUGAUACUCUCUAGUAGCACCAAACACACCUUUCUUUGCUAAUAAGUUGCAAUUAUACAUUCAUUUGUGUGACUAAUUGAGUGGCACCCAACUAGAUUCUAAGUUCCCUGAAGGCAGGGGCCAGGACUAUUGGUGCUCACCAUUGAGUCCUGGUUGUCUAACACAAAGACAGCAAACUUGUUCUGUGAAGGGCUAAAUAGUAAAUAUUUCGGGCUUUGUGGGCCAUAUUGUCUCUGUUGCUACUAUUCAACUAUGCUAUUUUAGUACAGAACAGCCACAGACAAUACAUAAAUGAAUGAGUAUGGCUAUGUUCCAAGAAAACUUAAUUUAUGAAAACAGGUGGUGGGCUGGAUUUGGCUCAUGAGCUAGAGUUUGCCAAACCCUGGUGUAGCGUAAUUCCAGCACUUAGUUUGUGAUCAAAAAAAUGUUGUUGAACAGUGAGCACUUGGCAAAUAUGGAUUGAGCAGUGGCAGUAAAAUGUGCGAACUGUGCAAUCCUGUUCUUAUUAUGGCACAGCAGCCUAGAUGUACACGUACAGACAGUUUUCAACUAA